rnacentral:lncRNA from 1 species
AGCCUCAAAUGUACCCCGUGCAAUGCUCGCACUAGGGAUUAGAGAGAAUUUCGACAGCCUUGGCUUGGCCAAUAGUAAUAGAUUCAGAAUAGUAUCGAAUGCAUGAGAGUAUGAGAGAAUAACAAUGGUUCUUUAGUGAUUAGAGUCUAUCUAAAGGGAAAAUUGGGAUGGGGUGUAUAUAGUAAUAAAAAUCAACACAUAAAUAAGGAAAUACAGUCAAUCGAACAUAAACAAGAAAAGAAGAACAUGCAGAAAUCAAUUUUGAAUCGAAUUAGGAGAAGAAACCAGAUAAACCCUAGUUUCACUAAGAUCAAAAAUUUUUCAGAGAUGUUGGUGUAUGAACCUCAUAGCCUUGAUAUGAACAUAUACGGACAAAAUAUCAUCCAAAUCUUGGAGAGUAAAGCCAAUCUCUUUUGAUUCAAAGACUGGUACUUGCCAAAAAUGGGCAAGUACAAAGUAACACCAUAUUUACACAAGUAAUAGUGAUAUAAUCCGGUAAAAGUAAGUAAACCAUGGUAAUAAUCCAUGGAUGACCUGGAUUCAAAAAAGACUUUGGGUGAUGGGUUGGGUUUGCAAGGUGAGGGGAGGUUUUAAGAGAGUAUAUUGCCAGUCGGUUGGAAAAAAU